UGAACGCUGGCGGCGUGCCUAACACAUGCAAGUCGUGCGAGAAAGUCGACUUCGGUCGAUGAGUAGAGCGGCGAACGGGUGAGUAACACGUGGAUAACCUGCCUAGGAGCGGGGGAUAACCUGGGGAAACUCGGGCUAAUACCGCAUACGUUCUCAGCAUCAUGGCGCUGAGAGGAAAGCUGGCCAAUUCUUGAAAGCUAGCACUCCUAGAGGGGUCCGCGCUCGAUUAGCUUGUUGGUGGGGUAAUGGCCUACCAAGGCUGCGAUCGAUAGCCGGCCUGAGAGGGCGAUCGGCCACACUGGGACUGAGACACGGCCCAGACUCCUACGGGAGGCAGCAGUGGGGAAUAUUGGACAAUGGGCGCAAGCCUGAUCCAGCAACGCCGCGUGGAGGACGAAGGCCUUCGGGUCGUAAACUCCUGUCAGUUGGGACGAAAAGCCGUCGAUUAAUAGUCGGCGGUCCUGACGGUACCAGCAGAGGAAGCCCCGGCUAACUCC
rnacentral:rRNA from 1 species